rnacentral:rRNA from 1 species
UACGUAGGGUGCGAGCGUUAAUCGGAAUUACUGGGCGUAAAGCGUGCGCAGGCGGUUCGUUGUGUCCGUCGUGAAAGCCCGGGCUUAACCUGGGAACUGCGAUGGAAACUAGCGAGCUGGAGUGUGGCAGAGGGGGGUGGAGUUCCGCGUGUAGCAGUGAAAUGCGUAGAGAUGCGGAGGAACACCGAUGGCGAAGGCAGCCCCCUGGGCUAACACUGACGCUCAGGCACGAAAGCGUGGGGAGCAAACAGG